rnacentral:misc_RNA from 1 species
AAGUCGUAACAAGGUUUCCGUAGGUGAACCUGCGGAAGGAUCAUUACCGAGUGCGGGCCCUCGCGGCCCAACCUCCCACCCUUGUCUCUAUACACCUGUUGCUUUGGCGGGCCCACCGGGGCCACCUGGUCGCCGGGGGACGCACGUCUCCGGGCCCGCGCCCGCCGAAGCGCUCUGUGAACCCUGAUGAAGAUGGGCUGUCUGAGUACUGUGAAAAUUGUCAAAACUUUCAACAAUGGAUCUCUUGGUUCCG